rnacentral:rRNA from 1 species
GGAAUAUUGGUCAAUGGAGGCAACUCUGAACCAGCCAUGCCGCGUGCAGGAAGACAGCCCUCUGGGUCGUAAACUGCUUUUAUUCGGGAAUAAACCUAGAUACGUGUAUUUAGCUGAAUGUACCGAAGGAAUAAGGAUCGGCUAACUCCGUGCCAGCAGCCGCGGUAAUACGGAGGAUCCAAGCGUUAUCCGGAUUUAUUGGGUUUAAAGGGUGCGUAGGCGGCUUAUUAAGUCAGGGGUGAAAGACGGUGGCUCAACCAUCGCAGUGCCCUUGAUACUGAUGAGCUUGAAUACACUAGAGGUAGGCGGAAUGUGACAAGUAGCGGUGAAAUGCAUAGAUAUGUCACAGAACACCGAUUGCGAAGGCAGCUUACUAUGGUGUUAUUGACGCUGAGGCACGAAAGCGUGGGGAUCAAACAGGAUUAGAUACCCGAG